AAUGCACCGGAUCCCAUCA
rnacentral:snRNA from 1 species